rnacentral:rRNA from 1 species
UACAGGGGGUGCAAACGUUGCUCGGAAUUACUGGGCGUAAAGCGCACGUAGGCGGACUGUUAAGUCGGGGGUGAAAUCCUGGGGCUCAACCUCAGAAUUGCCUCCGAUACUGGCAGUCUCGAGUGCGGGAGAGGUGAGUGGAAUUCCCAGUGUAGAGGUGAAAUUCGUAGAUAUUGGGAAGAACACCAGUGGCGAAGGCGGCUCACUGGCCCGUAACUGACGCUGAGGUGCGAAAGCGUGGGGAGCAAACAGG